rnacentral:rRNA from 1 species
GAUGAACGCUGGCGGCGUGCCUAAUACAUGCAAGUCGAGCGAACAGACGAGGAGCUUGCUCCUCUGACGUUAGCGGCUGACGGGUGAGUAACACGUGGAUAACCUACCUAUAAGACGUGGAUAACUUCGGGAAACCGGAGCUAAUACCGGAUAAUAUAUUGAACCGCAUGGUUCAAUAGUUAAAGACGGUUUUGCUGUCACUUAUAGAUGGAUCCGCGCCGCAUUAGCUAGUUGGUAAGGUAACGGCUUACCAAGGCAACGAUGCGUAGCCGACCUGAGAGGGUGAUCGGCCACACUGGAACUGAGACACGGUCCAGACUCCUACGGGAGGCAGCAGUAGGGAAUCUUCCGCAAUGGGCGAAAGCCUGACGGAGCAACGCCGCGUGAGUGAUGAAGGUCUUCGGAUCGUAAAACUCUGUUAUUAGGGAAGAACAACUGUGUAAGUAACUAUGCACGUCUUGACGGUACCUAAUCAGAAAGCCCCGGCUAACUACGUG